rnacentral:tRNA from 1 species
AAGGAGGGGUGUGUUUUUAUAAUCAAAUCAUCUUUUACCCUAAAAUAAUUGUAUGACUCUGACCUUGUAGUUUAGACAACAGUUGAAAAUGAUUUGUGCUCCUUCAUCUCUAUCAUGUAACAAUAAAAGUGUCUGAAGUUUUGUGUUUGUGGCCAGGUAAUUAAAGUGAUGGACUCUGGGUUAUUGGGCUUUUUCAGCAGCAGAUUCGAUUCCUACACAUUGAAGUUACAUUUUUACUGAUUCAGGCUGGUUAUGAUAUCUGAAUUACAGUAGGACAAAAAACAAGUAAAUAAUUCGUGUGGAAUUCUUGACUAAACCUAGCCUUUUGCCCAGGCUAGAAUUUUACAUCAUAGGGAUAUUUAGAAAUAUAUUUUCAACUUUGAUUUAUUCUUUCCAAUAACAUAGAAUACUGGUAGAAUAGCCAUAUUUAACUUCAUUAGGCAUAAACAAGUAGCAAUAUCUGUUGCUCUCCUCGUUAGUAUAGUGAUGAGUAUUCCCCGCCUGCCACGCGGGAGGCUGGGGCUCGAUUCCCCUAUGGGGAGUAUUUGGCCAAACUUUUAACCGUGAAUCUUUGUACAACUACAGCUUUCCUGAGCACAAGAGGAAUCUAGGUUCAAAUGGAAAACACCUUGGAAGUUAAGAACCAGGUGUCUGAUACUUGCCUCGUGUUUACAGUGAGAACCGACAAUGUAAAGCUGUGCGUUUUAGGCCCCAAACCUGAAGUUAAGACAACCGUGUGACCCAAGUGUGAUUUAUGCAGCGGCCUUGGUGACCUGAUCAAGUUCUCUAAUACCCGAAGUCUCCAGCAAAGCACUUGUAAAUGUACAUUUAAAAAAAAUGAAAAAAAGCUUUCGGAAUGGAAAACAACUACCAUAAAGCCGUAGGGAUCAAUACUGUGUGGUUUCUACUCAGGAAAAUCCACAGCUUGCCAAGAGGUGGAACCUUCCAAGGACAUCUCCGUACCCUAAGAAGUCGUGCACAGAUCGUACUUAAUGAAAGUACACUCCCACAAUUGUCCCUUCAAUUGGGGACUAGACAAAGAUUCCGGAACCCUCAAAGACCACCACGCAGUCUCAGACAUUGAGAUGAAGCCGUCUAUGUCCUGCUGGGUCCGCAGAGCAGUGGAGGAAGACCGGAGGCGGUGGAGACUAGGGACGCAGGUCCUGAGUUCAACUCCCAGCAACCACAUGGUGGC